UCUCAUGAAAAAUCAGAAAGUAUAUCGAAGAAAAUGACAGCCCGCGCCUGACGGCCCUCGCGGCCAAUGAGCGCGCAGGUCGCGGGCAGGCCCGCCUCCGACUGACGGCACUCGUGGCCAAUAAGCAAGGCGGCGCCGCGGAGCAGGCAGCCAUUGGGCGAGCGCGCAGAACCAGUGAGUCCGGCGGCGGCUUAGUAGCUGCAGGCGCCGCCGCCGCCACAUUCAAGAGUCGGGAGCCUCGCGAGCGCCGUAGGCAGAGGCAGCUCCCGCGGCUCCGUCCAUGCUCCGGGCCGCCGUCCCGUCCGCGCAGCGGGCCCCGCGGAGACCACGUGAGGGUGGACCCGCGCUGUGCUCGGCUGCGCCUUCCUCCCGGCGGACCUGCGGCGGAGCGUCCCGAGCGGGCCCCGCUUCAGGGGUGAAGGCGACAGCGACGGCUCUGCGGGCCGGAAGGUCAAUCCCUAACAUCCCAUCCAAUCAGAGCGAGUCUGCAUGCAGCAAGCCGGUCUCUGCCUCUGGGCCUCUCUGCCUGCACAGCCGUCCUGCAGACAUCCUCUAGGCCUCUGACCUCAGCGCUGCCACCACUCCAGCCUCUGCUCUGCUCUCCUGCAGCCUCGCGGCCGUGUCACCGUGUCACCCAGAGCACUGGGUGGAGCUCUUUCUAUAGAGUCAGUAGCAACCUAUUGCCCACAUGUGUAGUGAGCUAGCCGACUAGGCCCAGGUGAGAAUCCUGGCCCCAGGAAUUUUCAUUUUAUCCACACAUAACAUACUCUUCAGCGAACAUACAAUAACUCAGCCCACCUUGGAGGCAGGGAAGGCAGUCUUAAUUGAUAUGCUCCCAAACCAGGAAGCUGCUAUUCUGGAGGGAAUCCGAGCAGUGCAUUUCUUGUGUUAAGCUAAUUUUGCAGAAUUACCGGGAGGACUGAUAAGAAACGUCAUGUCUCAUCUUGAGACCACUUCACAGGUCCACACCCCUAGCCCUUUGUCACAUUCCUGAAAAAUCCUUCAUGCGCCUUUCAAAAAAACCUUUCAAUGCGCCUUUCUCUCUGAGGUUGCCCACACUCCCCUCUCUCUGAGUGUGCACUUUCUCUCCGUAAAUAAAACUUUAACUCGACUUCA